CUUAGGCUCUGCGGGCUGAGGAGGAAGGAGGGCGGGCUGGCGGGCGGGGGCGGGACGCCGAGGGGAGGAGGAGGAGGCGGCUCGGAUGGCUGGCUCGGCUCUCGCUCGCUCUCCCUCCCAUGGGCAAGUCCGGCUCACACCCUGCUUCUCCCGCUCACUCACAGCCCCCUUGGCUCUCCCUCCUCCUCCUCCUUCCCCUGCGGGAUCCGCUCGCCGCCGCCGCCGCCGCCGCAGACGGCAAGUCGUGGCAGCCAGACGUCGGCGCGUAACCCGGCGCUCCGCAGUGCCUGAUGGCUGAGAAGAAUCGCAGAGGACUAGAAAAGGUUUGAGUCUGAAAUUAUCUGGCACAGAGGAUUAAAGCUCAGAAAUAAGUGAUUGCGAAACAGUUCAACUUCCCUGUUAAUGACAACAACAACAGCAACACGCUUAUUAAUUCCUAGCUGGAGCAUCAAGCUUAUGAAGAUUUCCAAGACUUUAUUGUUGACCCUUGUUGAAGAGAACUCUACUUGGCUUCUUUCCUGGCUUUCCUAAAUUGUUCACAUACAAGAUAAACUACCGUCAUUCAGACUUACAGAAGUGAGAAGACAAGCUGAACCAAAUGUAAAAUGGUAGCAAUUUACAGAUGUCAGAACUAACAUGUGGAUGAACUUAGAGAUGGAGAAGAAAGCUGGGCUUUUCCAAAGAGUGGAUCUAUCUGAACUGGAUAGCACUAUUGAACUUUGUUGCAUAUUUUGUGGUAGCUCUAAAACUCCUCUGCUUGCUUACAUACAACCAGACACCAGUGCCUUCUGAAGCUAAUCCAGGCCAUUUUUAUAACCUAAUGCAGUAGCACUUUGCAAUUAGAUGAAGAAGAUCGGUGGGAUUUCUUUCUGUGGUGAUUAAAAUGUGUCAGGGGAAGAAAUCAAGACAAUACUCCAAGUGAAAAAUAUAAAGUCAGUUAUUUCUUUAAUAUUUUGUGUUAUAGUAAUCAUUUUUAUAUUUUGAGCAUACUUUUUCUUGUCUACUUAAAUACUCAAAAUUAAUUAUAAAAUGUAAAUGUAAGCACAAUGAGAUACCAUCUCAUCCCAGUUAAAAUGGCUUUUAUCAAAAAGAUAGGGAAUAAUGAAUACUGGUGGAAGGAUGUGGAGAAUGGGGAACCCUCGUACACUGUCAAUGAGAAUGUAAAUUAGUACAGCCACUAUGGAAAACUGUAUGGAAGUGCCUCCGAAAACAAAGUAGAACUACCAUGUGAUCCAGCAAUUACACUAGUGGGUAUAUAUUCAAAAGAAAGGAAAUCAACAUAUUAAAGAGAUAGCUGCAUUCUCAUGUUUAUUGAAGUCCUGUUGAAAUAGCCAAAAUAUGGAAUCAACCUAAGUGCCCAUCAGUGGAUGAAUGGUUAAAGAAAAUGUGAUUGAUAUGCAAUGGAAUAUUAUUCAGCCAUAAAAAAGAAUGAAAUCCUGGCGGGGCACAGUGGCUCAUGCAAGUAAUCCCAGCACUGACCUCAUGAAGACAGAGAGUAGAUUGGUGGUUACCAGAGGUUGAGAAGGGGAGAGGAGAGGAGGGAUGAAGAGAGGUUGAUUGAUGGAUAGAAAUAUACAGUUUGAUAAUGAUAAAUCAGUAGGGUGACUAUAGUUUAUAAUAACCUAUUGUAUGGUUCAAAAUAGCUAAAAGAGAAUAAUUGAAAUAACGUAAGACAAAAAUUUAAGAUGAUAGAUAUCCCAAUUACACUGAUUUGAUCUUUACAAAUUAUAUGAAUGUAUUAAAUUAUUACAUGUAUCCCCAAAAUAUGUACAAGUAUUUUGUAUCAAUAAAAAAUAAAAUUUAAGAUAAAGUAAAUGUAAUGAUUAGCUUAUAUUUCCUAGAUCGGAAAUAAAUAUUUACUUAAGUAUGUUUAUGAUGAAGAGUUUUUUUAUAUUACUAUAAAAAUAGACACCUUACAUAAACAUAUUACAGUUGGUGUUUAGAUGGCUCUUUUUUUUCUGGCCUUGAAUUUCUGGAAAGUAGGUAUGGCCUGCUAUGUCAGGACUAGUUCUUGGAAUUCUUUGUUGU
rnacentral:lncRNA from 1 species